rnacentral:rRNA from 1 species
CUACGGGCCGCAGCAGUGGGGAAUAUUGCACAAUGGAGGAAACUCUGAUGCAGCAACGCCGCGUGGAGGAUGACACUUUUCGGAGCGUAAACUCCUUUUAUAUAGGAAGAAGAUGACGGUACUAUAUGAAUAAGCGCCGGCUAACUCCGUGCCGGCAGCCGCGGUAAUACGGAGGGCGCAAGCGUUACUCGGAAUCACUGGGCGUAAAGAGCGUGUAGGCGGAUUAAAAAGUCAGAAGUGAAAUCCUAUAGCUUAACUAUAGAACUGCUUCUGAAACUCUUAAUCUAGAAUAUGGGAGAGGUAGAUGGAAUUUCUGGUGUAGGGGUAAAAUCCGUAGAGAUCAGAAGGAAUACCGAUUGCGAAGGCGAUCUACUAGAACAUUAUUGACGCUGAGGUGCGAAAGCGUGGGGAGCAAACAGGAUUAGAUACCCCCGUAGUC